rnacentral:rRNA from 1 species
UACGGAGGGUGCGAGCGUUGUCCGGAAUCACUGGGCGUAAAGGGCGCGUAGGUGGCCCCGUCAAGCCGCGCGGUGAAAGCCCGGGGCUCAACCCCGGGUCGGCCGUGCGGACUGGCGGGCUCGAGCACUGUAGGGGCGGGUGGAAUUCCGGGGUGUAGCGGUGGAAUGCGUAGAUAUCGGAAGGAACAUCAGUGGCGAAGGCGGCAUCCUGGACCAAUAUUGAC